AUUGAACGCUGGCGGCAGGCCUAACACAUGCAAGUCGAACGAGUGGCGGACGGGUUAGUACUGUCUGGGAAACUGCCUGAUGGAGGGGUAUAACUACUGGAAACUGUAGCUAAUACCGCAUACCAUCAGAUGUGCCCAGAUGGGAUUAGGUAGUUGGUGGGGUAAAGGCUCACCAGGGCGACGAUCCCUAGCUGGUCUGCGAGGAUGACCAGCAACACUGGGACUGAGACACGGUCCAGACUCCUACGGGAGGCAGAAGUGGGGAAUAUUGCACAAUGGGCGCAAGCCUGAUGCAGCCAUGCCGCGUGUAUGAAGAAGGCCUUCGGGUUGUAAAGUACUUUCGGCAGGGAGGCGUUAACCGCAGAAGAAGCACCGGCUAACUCCGUGCCAGCAGCCGCGGUAAUAC
rnacentral:rRNA from 1 species